ensembl:lncRNA CAMTA1-IT1 CAMTA1 intronic transcript 1
GCACAGUGUACCUCCACCUUCCUCCUUCUGCUUCUGUUUUUGGGAGUUCAGUCAAAGCUGACAUGUUGCCCAAGACUAGAGGGGAGAGUUUGGAGGCCGGAGAGGAUGGCCAGGUCCUGGGUGUGGAGGUUGCUUCCUGCCCCUCCUCCUCCCCCACCACAGGGGCCUGGAGAAGACUGACAGCAGCAAUCACAGUCACAUUCCACAGCCUCUCCAGCACCCAGCCAGCUCUCCGCGGGGGCAGCAGGGACUGGUCCACCCAACAACAGCAGCCAUGUCCUCACCUCUUGCUACAGCAGCAACUUUAUUUGAUUUGAUGUAUAUGAAGAAAUAAAACUCAGAAGUCAAUUGACUUAAACAUGGAA